rnacentral:rRNA from 1 species
UGGCGGACGGGUGAGUAACGCGUGGGUAACCUGCCCCAUACAGGGGGAUAACAGCCGGAAACGGUUGCUAAUACCGCAUGUACAUGCGGGGGCGCAUGCCCCUGGAUGGAAAGCAUUAGCGGUAUGGGAUGGGCCCGCGUCUGAUUAGGCAGUUGGCGGGGUAACGGCCCACCAAACCGACGAUCAGUAGCCGGCCUGAGAGGGCGACCGGCCACAUUGGGACUGAGACACGGCCCAAACUCCUACGGAAGGCAGCAG